GGGGAAUUUUCCGCAAUGGGCGAAAGCCUGACGGAGCAAGACCGCGUGAGGGAAGAAGGUCUGUGGAUUGUAAACCUCUUUUGAUAGGGAAGAAGAACUGACGGUACCUAUCGAAUCAUCCUCGGCUAACUCCGUGCCAGCAGCCGCGGUAAUACGGAGGAGGCAAGCGUUAUCCGGAAUUAUUGGGCGUAAAGCGUCCGUAGGUGGAUGUUCAAGUCUUCUGUCAAAGCGCGGAGCUUAACUCCGUAAGGGCAGAGGAAACUGAGCGUCUAGAGUGCGAUAGGGGCAAGGGGAAUUCCCAGUGUAGCGGUGAAAUGCGUAGAUAUUGGGAAGAACACCGGUGGCGAAAGCGCCUUGCUGGGUCUGCACUGACACUGAGGGACGAAAGCUAGGGGAGCGAA
rnacentral:rRNA from 1 species